rnacentral:tRNA from 1 species
GGCUCCGUAGUAUAGCGGAUAGUACAUAGGUCUUCGGAACCUAGGGUCCGGGUUCGAUUCCUGGCGGGGCUA